ACACAAACUAGCCGAAAGCCCUAUCUAAGAAAGUGGCUACUAGCUCAAGUGCUGGUGAAAACCUCGCUUUUUAGCGAUAGGAGGGUUUUCCAACUAAGCCGAAGAUAUAAGCCGACGGUCCAGGUACAAGAGAAGACUUUAUAAGCCGCUUACUCGGAACUUGUGCUUUCCUAUCCAUACCGCUUUCCUUCAUAGCAGCAAAGGAGAACGCGAUAUUGAUUCAGUCGG
rnacentral:lncRNA from 1 species